CAUUGCCUACGGGACGCAGCAGUGAGGAAUAUUGGUCAAUGGCCGAAGGGCUGAACCAGCCAAGCCGCGUGAAGGAAUAAGGCCCUACGGGUCGUAAACUUCUUUAGUCAGGGAACAAAGGGAGCCACGCGUGGCGCUGUGAGUGUACCUGAAGAAUAAGCAUCGGCUAACUCCGUGCCAGCAGCCGCGGUAAUACGGAGGAUGCGAGCGUUAUCCGGAUUUAUUGGGUUUAAAGGGUGCGUAGGCGGUUUGUCAAGUCAGCGGUAAAAAUUCUGGGCUCAACCCGGACCCGCCGUUGAAGCUGG
rnacentral:rRNA from 1 species